rnacentral:rRNA from 1 species
UGGACGAAGUCUGACGGAGCACGCCGCGUGAACGAUGAAGGCCUUCGGGUCGUAAAGUUCUGUUGUCAGGGAAGAACAAGUACCGGAGUAACUGCCGGUACCUUGACGGUACCUGACCAGAAAGCCACGGCUAACUACGUGCCAGCAGCCGCGGUAAUACGUAGGUGGCAAGCGUUGUCCGGAAUUAUUGGGCGUAAAGCGCGCGCAGGCGGUUCCUUAAGUCUGAUGUGAAAGCCCCCGGCUCAACCGGGGAGGGUCAUUGGAAACUGGGGAACUUGAGUGCAGAAGAGGAGAGCGGAAUUCCACGUGUAGCGGUGAAAUGCGUAGAGAUGUGGAGGAACACCAGUGGCGAAGGCGGCUCUCUGGUCUGUAACUGACGCUGAGGCGCGAAAGCGUGGGGAGCGAACAGGAUUAGAUACCCUGGUAGUCCACGCCGUAAACGAUGAGUGCUAAGUGUUAGAGGGUUUCCGCCCUUUAGUGCUGCAGCAAACGCAUUAAGCACUCCGCCUGGGGAGUACGGCCGCAAGGCUGAAACUCAAAGGAAUUGACGGGGGCCCGCACAAGCGGUGGAGCAUGUGGUUUAAUUCGAAGCAACGCGAAGAACCUUACCAGGUCUUGACAUCCUCUGACAACCCUAGAGAUAGGGCGUUCCCCUUCGGGGGACAGAGUGACAGGUGGUGCAUGGUUGUCGUCAGCUCGUGUCGUGAGAUGUUGGGUUAAGUCCCGCAACGAGCGCAACCCUUGAUCUUAGUUGCCAGCAUUCAGUUGGGCACUCUAAGGUGACUGCCGGUGACAAACCGGAGGAAGGUGGGGAUGACGUCAAA